rnacentral:rRNA from 1 species
GUGAGCUUCUGGGUGAGGUUGACAAAGUGUUGCCUUCAUGUGGAAGCUCGAGGGUAGAUGAACUGAAGCAGUGUGGUCUUGCUGUUUCGUGGGCGCUACCGUCUGCUUGGCUCACACUGCCUUGCGGUUGAACCUUUAUUUGUUUGUAUGUGCAUGCUGUAUGUAUCACAAUUUUCAGCGAUGGAUGCCUCGGCUCGAACAACGAUGAAGGGCGCAGCGAAGUGUGAUAAUCUUUGUGAAUUGCAGAAUUCCGUGAAUCAAUAGAGCUUUGAACGUGUCUUGCGCUUUCGGGCUAUACCUGAAAGCAUGCCUGCGUUGGUGUCUGUAUGGCCUCAUUCAGUCAGCAACACUAAACCUCAUUGGUAGUGUGAUGUCUGUGUGUCGGUGUGUGCAAGGUUCACCCUUGUUACACAGAAUGCAUGUUUAUUAUCGUUGCCAACAGCUUGCUGUGCCUCUGUAUAGUGGUUAACCUUCUGUUGGCACGAAAUCCAAGCACAUGCCCCAAUGUGUGAUUAAUUAGACAUGACGUUAGGCUAGAUCACCUGCUGAAUUUAAGCAUAUAAGUAAGCGGAGGACAAGAAACUAAACAGGAUCCCCAUAGUAAUGGCGAAUGAACCGGGAUAAACUCAGCAUGGAAAUUGGGGCCUUUGGCUUUGACUUGUAAUCUGGUGAGGCAUUGCCAACAGAGGCGCAUAUGUAAGUCUCUUGGAAAAGAGCAUCAACGAAGGUGAGAGUCCUGAUUGUCAUGUGCAGCCCCCCUGUGCACGGUGUGCCUUCUAAGAGUCACGUUCCUUGGGAUUGGAGCGCAAAUUGGGUGGUAACUUUCAUCUGAAGUUAAACAAUGGUUUGGGACCGAUAGGAAACAAGUACCAUGAGGGAAAGGUGAAAAGGACUUUGGAAAGAGAGUUAAAAGUGCCUGAAAUUGCUGAAGGGGAAGCGAAUGGAACCAGUGGUGCUGGGUGAGAUUGUCACAUGCUGCAAGGAUUGGUUGCUGCCMCAACGCAAGUGUGCUGGCAAUUUGUGAACUGUUAGUGUGUGGUGUGUCUUACCUAGUGGGUCAUUGUGGGUUUAUGCAUUAAGAUAAAUCAAAGCAAGCGGGAGCAAGUUUACGAGUUUGUGAAUGUGUGUUGUUAUGUUUGUGCGUAAGCUUUAGUGUUUGUCUGGCUGCAGGGCUGUCCAUCCUCAAGCUUUGCUGUGGUUGCGAUGAGCAUAACCUUCUGCACAGAUCUUGACGA